UACAGAGGGGGCAAGCGUUGUUCGGAAUUACUGGGCGUAAAGGGCGCGUAGGCGGCCUGUUAAGUCGGACGUGAAAUCCCCGGGCUCAACCCGGGAACUGCGUCCGAUACUGGCAGGCUUGAAUCCGGGAGAGGGAUGUGGAAUUCCAGGUGUAGCGGUGAAAUGCGUAGAUAUCUGGAGGAACACCGGUGGCGAAGGCGGCAUCCUGGACCGGCAUUGACGCUGAGGCGCGAAAGCGUGGGGAGCAAACAGG
rnacentral:rRNA from 1 species